rnacentral:lncRNA from 12 species
CUCAACGAUUUCACGCCACGGUUCGGUUCCUCGUCGCAAGAGGAAUUUAAGCGGACUUUGCCAGGAAGUCCUGUUGGAAGCCGACCGGGUGCUGCAGUGGGGGUGGGGGCAUGGAGGGGGCUGAGCGCUGGCACCCUGGCUGCCCCCCUCCACCGCCUCGACCCCCCACCCCAGCCCUGGGCCAGAGUUCAUUAUUCACGGGCAUCCCGGCUUCCCUCCUGGCACGCACCAUGUGCCAUGCGUAGGCUCCGAGGACUGCGGCGAGGCCACCCAGACCCUGCCCUCUGGGGCUUGAGUCCAACGGUGGGGGAAACACUGAUGGGGGAACCACGGCUCCCAGGGGGCCCGGGGCCAGGGUGGUCAGAGCCAAGGGUGCACAGCUGUAGGCGGAGCAGCCUGGACGCCCAUGUCGCUCCCGGUGCCUGCCCACGUGAACCCGACCUUCUCGUCCUCUCCAGUCUUGGUCUCUCAGACUCCUGACCGCCCAGGUGGACCGGGUCUCCCUCCCCGGAGUCUGUGCGCCUUCUGACCUCAGGGCAACUCCCUCGG